rnacentral:lncRNA from 1 species
CAAGCCCUGAGGCUGUACACUGAGUGAUGAAGAUAUAAACUCCAACGAACGGCGUGGAAACGCAGAACAAAAAGGAAGGGAUGUGUAUCUGUCCGGAAAAGAGUGGUUAAUCUGUCUGGAAAUGGAGAGGACUGCGUGGAAUGAAAGAGUGAUGCAGCUGCCCUGAGGCUGCUGGAAUUGGCCUUGGAUGAAGGGAUUGCAUGGCACGACCCCACCAAUGCCCAAUGGAUAUGAAGACGUGUGUGAAAAAUUACCCUGCUGAAGCUCCACUAAUGGCAGCCUGCAGUGUGUG